rnacentral:misc_RNA from 1 species
GAUGAAGAACGUAGCUAAAUGCGAUAAGUAAUGUGAAUUGCAGAAUUCAGUGAAUCAUCGAAUCUUUGAACGCACAUUGCGCCCCUUGGUAUUCCGGGGGGCAUGCCUGUUCGAGCGUCAUUUCAACCCUCAAGCUCUGCUUGGUAUUGGGCUCCGUCCUCCUCGGACGCGCCUCAAAGACCUCGGCGGUGGCGUCUUGCCUCAAGCGUAGUAGAAACACCUCGCUUUGGAGUGCAUGGCGUCGCCCGCCGGACGAAACCUUUUGUAUUUUCUCAAGGUUGACCUCGGAUCAGGUAGGGAUACCCGCUGAACUUAAGCAUAUCAAUAAGCGGAGGA